AUUGAACGCUGGCGGCAGGCUUAACACAUGCAAGUCGAGCGGAGAGAGGUAGCUUGCUACUGAUCUUAGCGGCGGACGGGUGAGUAAUGCUUAGGAAUCUGCCUAUUAGUGGGGGACAACAUUUCGAAAGGAAUGCUAAUACCGCAUACGUCCUACGGGAGAAAGCAGGGGAUCACUUGUGACCUUGCGCUAAUAGAUGAGCCUACGUCGGAUUAGCUAGUUGGUGGGGUAAAAGCCUACCAAGGCGACGAUCCGUAGCGGGUCUGAGAGGAUGAUCCGCCACACUGGGACUGAGACACGGCCCAGACUCCUACGGGAGGCAGCAGUGGGUAAUAUUGGACAAUGGGGGGAACCCUGAUCCAGCCAUGCCGCGUGUGUGAAGAAGGCCUUAUGGUUGUAAAGCACUUUAAGCGAGGAGGAGGCUCUUUUGGUUAAUACCCAAGAUGAGUGGACGUUACUCGCAGAAUAAGCACCGGCUAACUCUGUGCCAGCAGCCGCCGCAG
rnacentral:rRNA from 1 species